rnacentral:RNase_P_RNA from 1 species
UGAGCAAGCUAAACAGUUGCGGGUACAGUGCCGAAAGGCCAUAUCCGAGGAAAGUCCGAGCUCCACAGGGCAAGGAUAACGGCUAACAGCCGCCGGGGGCGACCCUAGGGAAAGUGCAACAGAGAUAUACCGCCAUGCAAAACAUGGUAAGGGUGGAAAGGUAAGGUAAGAGCUUACCAGCCGAGCAGGCAACUGUUUGGCUCUGUAAACCCUAUCCGGAGCAACACCGCAGUAAGACGUCACAUCGGGCCCCGAUAGUCUUAAAUAGGUGGCACUGAGCUGUUGCGGCAACGCGCAGCCAAGAUAGAUGACUGUUCAUGACAGAACUCGGCUUACAGGUUUGGUCAAAAA